AACGAACGUUAGCGGCGCGCUUAACACAUGCAAGUCGUGCGAGAAAGGGCUUCGGCCCCGGUACAGCGGCGCACGGGUGAGUAACACGUAGGUAAUCUGCCCCCAGGUGGUGGAUAACCUUCCGAAAGGAGGGCUAAUACAGCAUAAGACCACGGGUUCGAAAGGACUUGAGGUCAAAGCCGGCCUCUUUACAAAAGCUGGCGCCAGGGGAUGAGCCUGCGGCCCAUCAGGUAGUUGGUAGGGUAAUGGCCUACCAAGCCUAAGACGGGUUGCUGUGCUGAGAGGAUGAUCAGCCACACUGGAACGUAGACACGGUCCAGACACCUCAGGGAGGCAGCAGUGGGGAAGCUUGCGCAAUGGGCGAAAGCCUGAUGCAGCGACGCCGCGUGAGUGAUGAAGGCCCUCGAGUUGUAAAGCUCUGUGGAGGUGGACGAAUAAGUGUUGGCUAAUAUCCAGCAUGAUGACGGUACCCCUUUAGCAAGCACCGGCUAACUCUGUGCCAGCGGCCGCAGUAAUAC
rnacentral:rRNA from 1 species